UGGAUCCAGACUUUGAUCCUGGCUCAGGAUAAACGCUGGCGGCGCACAUAAGACAUGCAAGUCGAACGGACUUAACCAUUAGUUUACUAUUGGAGCGGUUAGUGGCGGACUGGUGAGUAACACGUAAGCAACCUGCCUAUCAGAGGGGAACAACAGUUAGAAAUGACUGCUAAUACCGCAUAUACCUAAGUACCACAUGGUACAAUAGGGAAAGGAGCAAUCCGCUGAUAGAUGGGCUUGCGUCUGAUUAGAUAGUUGGUGGGGUAAAGGCCUACCAAGUCGACGAUCAGUAGCCGGACUGAGAGGUUGAACGGCCACAUUGGGACUGAGAUACGGCCCAGACUCCUACGGGAGGCAGCAGUCGGGAAUAUUGCGCAAUGGAGGAAACUCUGACGCAGUGACGCCGCGUGCAGGAAGAAGGUUUUCGGAUUGUAAACUGCUUUAGACAGGGAAGAAACAAGACAGUACCUGUAGAAUAAGCUCCGGCUAACUACGUGCCAGCAGCCGCGGUAAUACGUAGGGAGCGAGCGUUAUCCGGAUUUAUUGGGUGUAAAGGGUGCGUAGACGGGAGAACAAGUUAGUUGUGAAAGCCCUCGGCUUAACUGAGGAACUGCAACUAAAACUAUUUUUCUUGAGUACUGGAGAGGAAAGUGGAAUUCCUAGUGUAGCGGUGAAAUGCGUAGAUAUUAGGAGGAACACCAGUGGCGAAGGCGACUUUCUGGACAGAAACUGACGUUGAGGCACGAAAGUGUGGGGAGCAAACAGGAUUAGAUACCCUGGUAGUCCACACUGUAAACGAUGGAUACUAGGUGUAGGGGAUAAUAAAUUCUCUGUGCCGUCGCAAACGCAAGAAGUAUCCCACCGGGGGAGUACGGCCGCAAGGCUGCAA
rnacentral:rRNA from 1 species